CUCAGAUUUUCUAGGAAUGAAAGCCCAAGUCCCCUGACCAGCAUGGAACUGGGAAGACCGGGAAUGUGGAAUGUGUGUAUGUGCAGGUACAGAUGAGAGAGAGAGGAGAGAGAGAGAGAGAGUCCCCUCCUCUUCUUCCUCCCACGAUGAGCUGUAGCUGAACUGGAAGCGCAGCUCACUUUCCCGCUGGUCCUGGACUUGACCCUGGCCGUGUUUGUUUGGGUGAUUUGCGCUGGAUUGGGAACCCUCUCACUUGCACACCCCGGGUGCUCGUUCUGCCCCCAACACCGCGCCCAGCCCUGGCCUGGAGCUGCCCUUGCCCGUUGGACACAGGCUGCGCAAGUCGCCGGCUGAAACGCUCCUCCCUGCCUUCCUGGGGGCCGGGGUGAGGCGAGCUGAGGCCACGAAAUGCAUGCUCCUGGACGGAGUCCUCACGGAUGACACUGAGCUUCACAUGGCGGGGGCUGUGUCGCACCAGCAGGGACACCGGACCACGCUCUGUUCCUUCCUGGGAGUCACCCCUGUUCUUCUGGGUCUGCCUCUUCCCCUUGGCCUUGAGCUCGCGUAGCCUUCUAGUAAGUCCCGUGUUGGCCGGAGUGGGCCAGAGCCAGGUCCCUGCCGGCCAGGAGGAGCCAGGUCCGGGAAAGCCAGGGUUUUGGGGAGAAGGGGCACAGCAGGACCCCGGGGCACAGGCUCAGGUCCUGCUGGGAAGCCCAGCCCAUCAGCGCUCAUCUUGGGCUUGGACAAGGACAGUCUCCAUCUGCGGUGGGUUGAGCCCUGCCUCUGAGGUGGGUUGAAGAGGGUAUGGGAGGGGGGGCGCAGAAGGAGUUCAGGCAAGGGCUUCUAAAAAAUGAUCUAUUGCUGGUAUAUCCCUGUAAUUCCAGUAUUCGGGGAGGCUGAGGCAGGAGGAUUGCAAGUUCCAGCCCAGCCUGGGCAAUCUAGGGACUUCAUGAGAUGAUGUCUCAAAGUAAACAACUCUGCUAAAUGGGGAAGGAAGGAUCCGGGGAGAGGGUUGAGCGUGGGGGUCUGGGUGCCAAGGGAGAAAGAGAUGCUGAAGACACCCAGAUAAGAGAUGAGGACACGGGGUGCCCGCAGAGCAGGAGUCACUGGAGGGUUGGCGUGGGGAGGGGGCUGGGCCCUGGGGGAAGGGAAGGAUGGAUAAAGGUCAGGGCUAUCCCGGAGCUGGUAGGUAAGCGGCUGCCCUGGAAACCCAGCCCGCAGCAGCAGAGCAGAACAGAGCGGGCAGGGGUGGCAUGGCCCUGGGCAGCGGGGAGACAGCCGAGCCUGGCCUUGUGGAGGGUGUGGACCCAGAAGCCCCGAGAGACGCCCUCCAUGGGAGGCACAGGACGGGCCGGUGGCUGCGGUGUUUGGCGAUGUCACUGUUGGUGGCUGGAAGACUUCGGUCGGGGUGCAAAGCAGUGUGGGCACAUGGUUAGAGAAGGCGGACAACGGGGUUUUCCAAAGUCUACACCAGGAAAGAAGCGAGGGUGCUCUCACGGGUGGGGUCAUUCGCAGGCGUCUCCUGGAAGGCAGUGCCUGUGUCUCCGUGACAGGUCUGGGGACCGAGGCCGGGGAGACCUCGCACUUCCGCAGAGCGCCCUUAUUUGUAAAUGUUUCCCGUGUGCUUUCUCAAAAACAGCCAGCACCCUUCGUCAGCGGGAGAAGCAGAGACCCGGCGUCCUCAGGUCCGGCAGCCGCGGCCGUCGGCUGCGGGGGCGCGGGAAGGGUAGGGUCACCGUCAUUAUGAGCGUCCCGGGGAGCAAGUUUUAUGGUCCGUGGUGGUUUUCUGUAAAUGAAAAUUGCUCUUCCUCCACAGCAAUUUAGUUGCAUGCGAGUCCAUCCAGGAAAGUCUUAUUCACGUUAGCUAUGACACAUACCCGUCCCCGAGGAAGUGUCACCCAGACACGUCCAGAGGCCCUGUCUCCUUUGGUCUAGGACGGCGGCUGCCAGUGGGACAGUGUUUGGGGGUUGUGCUAACCAUCACUGGGAGAAGCUGGGGCUCAGGGUGGCGGGCUCGGGGUGGGUGACCCUCCUAGGGCUCUUCUCCUCCGGGCCACCUGGAGCUACACAUCCAGGGCAGCCAAAGAUGUUCAGUCCCCCCGCCCCCCAGCCUUCCUGCAGCCCCAAGGCCAGCGACAGUGAUGGCGAACCUUGCAGAGCCGUCAACCAGGAUGUAAGAAGCGAUUAUUACAAUAAGGAUAACAGUGCUCACCCCCACCCCUCGCGCAUCAGGGCCCCAGUGUCACAGCGAUCUGGGAUAUCCCUGUCCGAGAAAAAAAAUAAGCAUUGCAUUCUGGAUGAAAGACCAGAAGGGAAAAUAGCAUCUGUCAUCUCAUCAGCGGACCGAACGACCCUGCAGCCAUCGCUUCCGGAGGGGAGGCUGGCAGACUGCAGGAGUCUGCAGGAGGAGGAAAAUGUGUGGGGACGCGGCGCGGCGCGGACUGAGCUGUUUCCGGGACGUUAUUUACAUCACCGGCGGCACUGCCUGUACCCUGACCCGCGAGAGCCACAGAGAUGUGUGUGGUACUACUAGAUGCCACAGUUCCUGCCUCGCCUCUCACCACUGUGCAUCUGAGCCCACGGCUGCCAGCCUUGGCGGGGUCGCACCUGUCUCAGCCACGCAGCGCACUGACCCCGCAGCUCCAAGCCCGGCCCAGAGGUGAGGAGGAAAGAGCCCGGGGCCACCCCAACUAGUGGAGGGCAGGAGCCAGCGCGCGGGUCCUCGUGCAUCUUUCCCGGAGUUCUUUCAGAGGGCCCCACCCCGCCCCGCAAUGGAAGCACUUGGCUGACCCAGUGAUUCGCAUGUGGAUUCUGCACUCCACUGUCACCUGCCUUCCUCUAGCCCCGAGGCCAGUGACAGUGACGGCGAACCUUGCCGAACCGUCAGUGGUACCAGGCAACUGGGGGCGGCAUGAGGGCCAUAGGUUCGCCACCACUGUUCCAGGCUCUGCUUUGGACAGAAACCAGACACACGAGUACCUGAAGUUUAUUUCCAGAAAUCAAUGCACUUCUAUUACUUGUAAUGAUGUUUUGCUGUCCUUCCCCCCAAAUGAAAGUUGAAUAUUCCAUUAGUGUUUUAUCAGUUACGCUUCAUCAUCUCCCAGGGCCGCA